CGGGUGCACUGAUCCGGCCGGGCCUUUCCCUCUGUGGAACCCCAUGGCCUUCACUGGCUGUGCGGGGGAAACAGGACUUUUACUGUGAAAAAAUUAGAGUGCUCCAGGCAGGCCUAUGCUCGAAUACAUUAGCAUGGAAUAAUAGAAUAGGACGCGUGGUUCUAUUUUGUUGGUUUCUAGGACCGCCGUAAUGAUUAAUAGGGACAGUCGGGGGCAUCAGUAUUCAAUUGUCAGAGGUGAAAUUCUUGGAUCUAUUGAAGACUAACUACUGCGAAAGCAUUUGCCAAGGAUGUUUUCAUUGAUAAGGAACGAAAGUUAGGGGAUCGAAGACGAUCAGAUACCGUCGUAGUCUUAACUAUAAACUAUGCCGACUAGGGAUCGGACGAUGUUAUUUCUUGACGCGUUCGGCACCUUUCGAGAAAUCAAAGUGCUUGGGCUCCAGGGGGAGUAUGGUCGCAAGGCUGAAACUUAAAGAAAUUGACGGAAGGGCACCACCAGGGGUGGAACCUGCGGCUUAAUUUGACUCAACACGGGGAAACUCACCAGGUCCAGACACAGUGAGGAUUGACAGAUUGAGAGCUCUUUCUUGAUUCUGUGGGUGGUGGUGCAUGGCCGUUCUUAGUUGGUGGAGUGAUUUGUCUGCUUAAUUGCGAUGACGAACGAGACCUUAACCUGCUAAAUAGCCCGUACUGCUCUGGCAGUUCGCCGGCUUCUUAGAGGGACUAUCGG
rnacentral:rRNA from 1 species